ACGUAGGUCCCGAGCGUUAUCCGGAUUUAUUGGGCGUAAAGCGAGCGCAGGCGGUUUGAUAAGUCUGAAGUUAAAGGCUGUGGCUCAACCAUGGUUCGCUUUGGAAACUGUCAAACUUGAGUGCAGAAGGGGAGAGUGGAAUUCCAUGUGUAGCGGUGAAAUGCGUAGAUAUAUGGAGGAACACCGGUGGCGAAAGCGGCUCUCUGGUCUGUAACUGACGCUGAGGCUCGAAAGCGUGGGGAGCGAACAG
rnacentral:rRNA from 1 species